UAUCACUAAGAGAUGGUUCCCGCGGUGUAUUAGUUAGUUGGUGAGGUAAUGGCUCACCAAGACAAUGAUACAUAGCCGAGUUGAGAGACUGACCGGGCCACAAUGGGACUGAGACACGGGCCCAUACUCCUACGGGAGGCAGCAGUAGGGAAUCUUCCACAAUGGACGAAAGUCUGAUGGAGCAACGCCGCGUGUGUGAUGAAGGGUUUCGGCUCGUAAAACACUGUUGUAAGAGAGGAAUGACAUUGAGAGUAACUGUUCAAUGUGUGACGGUAUCUUACCAGAAAGGAACGGCUAAAUACGUG
rnacentral:rRNA from 1 species